CCUACGGGUGGCAGCAGUGGGGAAUAUUGCACAAUGGGGGAAACCCUGAUGCAGCGACGCCGCGUGAGUGAAGAAGUAUUUCGGUAUGUAAAGCUCUAUCAGCAGGAACGAGACAAGACGGUACCUGACUAAGAAGCCCCGGCUAACUACGUGCCAGCAGCCGCGGUAAUACGUAGGGGGCAAGCGUUAUCCGGAAUCACUGGGUGUAAAGGGAGCGUAGACGGCUGUGCAAUGCUGAAGUGAAAGGCGGGGGCCCAAACCCUGGUUUGCUUUGGAGACCGUCCGGCUGGAGGCGAGGGGAGGUAAGUGGAAUUCCGGGUGUAGCGGUGAAAUGCGUAGAUAUUAGGAGGAACACCAGGGGCGAAGGCGGCUUACUGGACUGAAACUGACGUUGAGGCACGAAAGCGUGGGGAGCAAACAGGAUUAGAUACCCUUGUAGUC
rnacentral:rRNA from 1 species